CAUCUAUAUUCGUUCCCCUCCUUUCUUAUUGUUUCUACCAAUCUCUCUUGCCAAAAGCUGAGACAACCCGAGAGAGAAAAGUGGACUGAUGCUGGUGCUGUCCCAUGCGUGUCCAAGUGCUGCAUUGUUUUAGAAUUUCUGCUUUUGACCGAGUGGAAUGCUGCAGGUGCUGCUUUGGACGCAUCACUCAUCAUUCUCCCACUCACCCUCAUUAUUUAACUGAUCGCCAUUCCCUUCAAACCACGCAUCUCACUCUCUUGUAUGCUUUUAUUUCUUUAUUCUUUUCUCCUUCCCCUGUGCUCCUUCUUUCCUCUUCUCUUUAGGACUAAGUGUCAGUGACAGAAUGUGAGUCUGAAAGAGAGAUAAGAUAGAGACUCGAUUCUACCAUGAUCCACGGCACCGAACCCGUAGCCAGCCGUGACUUGUGCUCACUUGAUCCUCCCUUAGCCGAUUUCCAGCAGCAAACCGUCUAGCCCACUGACCCACCAAACAGAAGAAACCAGACCCAGCAAUCCGGCAUGAACCCAGCUCUACCCAUUAACCCGUGAACCCCGAAACCCAUGCCGCACCAUUCCAGCAACCUGUAGCUCAGCAAACUCAGAAGAAACCCGUGACCCAGCCGAGCUCGACUCGUGGACGUGUGCCGGAGAUGAUGAAUUGAGACAGCACAAAAGGACUAUGUUUGCGCAGGUACUGAAGAUUAUGGAAUGGAUUAACUGCUAGCUUAAGAGAUUUAAAGCUGUGUAGUUAGGAUUUUAGUACUUUGUACUCAUAGAUGUUUGUACUAUUUGCUUGUAAUAUGUCUAGACAUUUACUUGUAAUUAAUAAGUUCCAUGCAUGCUUUAGUGUCACAUGUGACAUAUGUUUCUUUGUAAAUAGUGUAAAGACUUUUAACGUAUUUUCUAGAAGAUGUCAGUUAAAGCUCUGAAUGUAUCGUAAGGGAAUUGU